UAGCAAUACAGUACAAAUAUAGU
rnacentral:miRNA from 1 species